rnacentral:tRNA from 1 species
ACCUGGGUGGCUCAGUCAGUUAAGCAUCUGACUUUGGCUCAGGUCAUGAUCUCACAGUUCGUGGGUUCAAGCCCCACCUCGGGCU